GUGCAAUGCAAUGCCUACAACAUUAAUGCACCAUAUUCCAUUAGAACUUCAUAGUUAAGUGUGCUUGGGAUAGAUUAGUAUUGGGAUGGGUGACCUCUCGGGAAGUCCUAGUGUUUUUCAUG
rfam:Picea glauca, whole genome shotgun sequence.